UCCCUGGUAGCUCAGUUGGUAAAGAAUCUGCCUGCAAUGCAGGAGACCCCGGUUCGAUUCCUGGGUUGGGAA
rnacentral:tRNA from 1 species